AUGAGAACACUUCAGAGCAUGAAAGAUCAAACCUCUAAGUGUGGUGAUUCAACUAUCAAAUCUCUAAGGGAUUCUACUUCUUCUAAGCAAGCUAAAGCUAGGCUUUUCUCUAAUUCUUCUUUUGAUAAUUCAUCGUCUUCUUUCAAAGGUGACAAGAUUAAACGUGCUGAAGAGUCUCUUAGGACUGUUAUGUAUUUGAGCUGUUGGGGUCCCAAUUGA